rnacentral:lncRNA from 1 species
GUUCUUAAUUAUUAUUUCUGUAAUUUAUGAUGUAUGAAUUUUUUAAGUGUUAUUAAAUACUAGUUGAUAAGCUGGAUAUCACAUUAAUCUUGUAGUUUUUCUUCUCACAGUAUGGCAGAGGGUCCUAUUCUCAAAGGUGCUAUAUUGAGACUUGCCUUGUGACUCUCAACAGCUAAACAAAAGUAAAAGAACUUUAGGAAAUCUUGAGUUCAGAUUUUUUAUAAGAUCUUCACUUCUAGUCUGUUCCCAUUUGGUAAUAUUAUGGUUGAACUGAAUUUCUCCAUUGCCCUUGACUCUAAAGUUCUGGACUUUCUGCUCUUGUUUUCCUCCAUUAUGGAAAAAUGACAAAUCAUUCUGAAAAGUCUAUAUGUUUCAGGUCACUGCUUUGUACCCAGAAAAAAAUACAGGAUAGGUAAGAUGAAGGCUCACAGUCUCAAAUCCUCACAAAGGGCAUGGUAAAUUAAUGAAGGAGUCGGCGUAGCAAAUGUAAGAAUUAUAUUUUUUAUUUGUAUUGUACUGUGGUAUAAGCAUGUAACAUAACUAUAUUGGAGAUUUAAUUUUCUGAUGUAAAAUUCAAAUAUCCAAUUAAAAAUAGGUAUUUUGAUUAUAUUUUUCUUCUAUAAAUAUUUUUGCCUUGAACCAGAGAAAUGUGACAGUUUCUCCUGCCCUAUUUGGGAU